CACUCAGAUGCCCUGAGAAAUUGCAUUUUCAAACUUGGAGCAGUAUGGAAAACAUGGAAAUUCUGAGACAUGGAUAUCCAUCCCAAAGGAGAUCUGCUCUCUACCAUCAGUCUUGGGACUAACAUUAUCAACAUUAAGCUCUAUUUUGGAACCUAAAAUUUAGUCCUCUCCUUAGUUCCCAGCUGAUGCUGAAUUGAUUGUCAAAGAGCUGAAGAAUAACUGAUCAUGUGGAAGUUGGUGAAGAGGUGAACUAUAACUUGUGAUUGUUCUUUGGACCACGGAGUCUACAGUUACCAAAAGGGUAAUGAAUCUCAACAUUUCCUCCUCCACACCCUCCAGCUCCACCCGCUUCUUUUCCAUCCUGGAGGAGCUGGCUCAUGGGAAGGUCAGGUGGUGAAUACCGGAGUGGUAUUGGCAUAUUGAGUUCAUCUGGCACAAUGCUGAAAAUACAGCAAUGGCUCAACAACAUCUUCUCAACUGAGUAGAGACCACAUGCUCUCUGACCCUCACCACCACAGCAACUCACCGUUGAAAGUUAAGCAAGUCCUGGAGAGUGUUCUGAAGAAUAAAAGAUGAUUCCUUAGCUGUGUUCACGUGACCAUUCGCUGAAUUAUCUCAAGAACUCAGACCCAGAAGACGUGAGGGCUCAGAUGACAGCUCACCCUUCUGCCACUCCAGAAAGGUUUACACCUCUUGUAACUAUUGUCUAGGAAAAUUACUCUUCUUCCCUCUUUUACCCCUCCACUAUGUCUUCCUGACUCUAUGGACAGAUCAAACUGACCUACCUAAAACAAACCAACAAUUACCAAAACAAAGUUUGCACUUCAUA